AGCGAACGCUGGCGGCGUGCUUAACACAUGCAAGUCGAGCGAAGGUGUUUCAAGGGUAACCUUGAGAUACACUUAGCGGCGGACGGGUGAGUAAUACGUGGAUAACUUACCUCUAGGCCUGGGAUAACCCCGGGAACGUAGGGGCGUAAUACCUGAUAAGACCACAUUGUCUACGGACAAAGGGGUAAAAGGUGGCUGUGCAAACAGCUAUCGCCAAAAGAUAGGUUCACGUCCCA
rnacentral:rRNA from 1 species